GAUGAACGCUGGCGGCGUGCCUAAUACAUGCAAGUCGAGCGAAUGGAUUAAGAGCUUGCUCUUAUGAAGUUAGCGGCGGACGGGUGAGUAACACGUGGGUAACCUGCCCAUAAGACUGGGAUAACUCCGGGAAACCGGGGCUAAUACCGGAUAACAUUUUGAACCGCAUGGUUCGAAAUUGAAAGGCGGCUUCGGCUGUCACUUAUGGAUGGACCCGCGUCGCAUUAGCUAGUUGGUGAGGUAACGGCUCACCAAGGCAACGAUGCGUAGCCGACCUGAGAGGGUGAUCGGCCACACUGGGACUGAGACACGGCCCAGACUCCGACGGGAGGCAGCAGUAGGGAAUCUUCCGCAAUGGACGAAAGUCUGACGGAGCAACGCCGCGUGAGUGAUGAAGGCUUUCGGGUCGUAAAACUCUGUCGUUAGGGAAGAACAAGUGCUAGUUGAAUAAGCUGACACCUUGACGGUACCUAACCAGAAAGCCACGGCUAACUACGUGCCAGCAGCCGCGGUAA
rnacentral:rRNA from 1 species